AUUGAACGCUGGCGGAAUGCUUUACACAUGCAAGUCGAACGGCAGCACGGACUUCGGUCUGGUGGCGAGUGGCGAACGGGUGAGUAAUGUAUCGGAACGUGCCCAGUCGUGGGGGAUAACGUAGUGAAAAUUACGCUAAUACCGCAUACGAUCUAUGGAUGAAAGCGGGGGAUCGCAAGACCUCGCGCGAUUGGAGCGGCCGAUAUCAGAUUAGGUAGUUGGUGGGGUAAAGGCCCACCAAGCCAACGAUCUGUAGCUGGUCUGAGAGGACGACCGGCCACACUGGAACUGAGACACGGUCCAGACCCCUACGGGAGGCAGCAGUGGGGAAUUUUGGACAAUGGGCGAAAGCCUGAGCCAGCCAUUCCGCGUGCAGGAUGAAGGCCCUCGGGUUGUAACUGCUUUUGUACAGAACGAAAAGGUUUCUACUAAUACUAGGAGCUCAUGACGGUACUGUAAGAAUAAGCACCGGCUAGCUACGUGCCAGCCGCCGCUGUAA
rnacentral:rRNA from 1 species